rnacentral:lncRNA from 1 species
AUGCUGGGCCAGCUGGGAACCUGGGGAACCUCAGAGCAGAGCCCAACUUUCUGCCCUGGACUGAUGGAUGAGAUGCACCCUCACCUCUGCCUCCCCUUGGCAUCCAGAGUUGCUUUACUCUUGCCUCCCAAACAGAGCACACUGCAGAUUGCUUUGAUCGAUCUUUGCAACUAUCAUAGGUUGAGAGUCCAGGUGUGAUAGUUACUAAUUGCUUCAUGGGACAUCAGUCAGAAGACAGACGCCAGCUGUGAUGACGGGCCAGGUGAGGAAGGUCCACACCCCACCUCCACCAUCCACCCAGUAUCCAGUGCCCAGAGAACAGGCGGGUGUUCCGGGUUCUCGGCAGAGAUGUGGCCAUGAUGGCCAGCGACCGCUGCUCUGCUCCUCUCGAUCCUUGCAUGAGUCUACAUUUCAGUUGUAUUGAAAAGAAAGUGUGCAAAAUUUCCC